rnacentral:rRNA from 1 species
AUUGAACGCUGGCGGCAGGCCUAACACAUGCAAGUCGAGCGGAUGAAGGGAGCUUGCUCCUGGAUUCAGCGGCGGACGGGUGAGUAAUGCCUAGGAAUCUGCCUGGUAGUGGGGGAUAACGUCCGGAAACGGGCGCUAAUACCGCAUACGUCCUGAGGGAGAAAGUGGGGGAUCUUCGGACCUCACGCUAUCAGAUGAGCCUAGGUCGGAUUAGCUAGUUGGUGGGGUAAAGGCCUACCAAGGCGACGAUCCGUAACUAGUCUGAGAGGAUGAUCAGUCACACUGGAACUGAGACACGGUCCAGACUCCUACGGGAGGCAGCAGUGGGGAAUAUUGGACAAUGGGCGAAAGCCUGAUCCAGCCAUGCCGCGUGUGUGAAGAAGGUCUUCGGAUUGUAAAGCACUUUAAGUUGGGAGGAAGGGCAGUAAGUUAAUACCUUGCUGCUUUGACGUUACCAACAGAAUAAGCACCGGCUAACUUCGUG